UGAGAACAGCAGGGUAUUAUGAGCAGCCAGAAAUACAGCUCUCUGUAUGAUGAAUACAUCAACAGCUUCUCAAGGUCUACUGACUAGACAAUCAUUGCAGUGGAUCUGCCAAACAACUUACUGGAUGUGACGAUAAACCACAUAGAACUGGACAGAGGACAAGUCUAAAGGAUGCCACCCUGGAAAUACUUGGACUUGGAGAUCACUGCCCG